GCUAGGAACACAAACAUUUCGCUACACCCGUAAAAACAUCUGCAAAAUAUGUGUAUGUGACCAAUACAAUUUGAUUUGAACAGACCUUGAGGUCGUCAGACACGUAGCCAUGUUAAAAUACUCCAAACCAGAAGGUGUCAGUAGCGUUGUACGGCAAUGCAUGUCUGUGUGUUGUUUAGUUCAUGGUCUAGAUUCCAAUGUUAGCUAGCUCCGCUGUUGUUGUUAUUUUGUAGAAAGCCGUUGUUGAUACUAUCCAGAUGGCCACAGCUAGAUAACUACAUAGCAAGAUGACGAAGAAGCACUUUAAUUCGAUCUCCAUAAUUUCACUACCAGCCCAUCGCUAGCUAGCUAACAUUAGCAUAUUCGCUAGCUAGCACAACAUAGCUAGUUGGCUAAGGACAAUGCUCCCGAGUGGCGCAGGCACUCGUCUCAGUGCUAGAGGCGUCACUACGUUCGAAUCCAGGCUGUAUCACAACUAGCCGUGAUUGGAAGUUCCAAAAGGGCGGCGCACAAUUGGCCUAGCGUCGCCCGGUUUUGGCCGGUGUAGGGCGUCAUUGUAAAUAAGAAUUUGUUGUUAACUGACUUGCCUAAUUAAAUAAAGGUACAAUUUAAAAGAUGCACCAACUCGGCAGCUGUUUCAUGGAAAGCAAUCCAUUGUGAUUUAAUUAUGUCAUUACUAGCUACAGUGGUUAGCUUCCUUGGAAGUAUUUAGUGUGCAUUGCGUCUGUGCACUUAGCUACUUACUAUCCCAUAUUGCAUAUGAAGUGUGACUGGCUCAUGACAUUUAACCAUGUAUGUAUGGAGAAUGUCAUUUUUUCAAUUUUGUUGUCACUCCUGUUGGCUCCCCACGUGGGGGUUCAUGCUCUCUGGUUGGCUCAAAGUCAAGUCAUUGUCCACUGACGAGCAUUGAGAUUCUGACAAGUAGAUAAGACAGGAUCGUCGCUAUGGUGUCUACACGUAGCAGGUACAGCAUUUGUUCUAGCAAUGACAAAACGGCCUCACACUGUGAUAAGUAUCAAGCAGCAGUCUAUCGUUAGUGAGAUUAUCAGUGUGUUUCAUGCUGAAAUUCAAAUGUACUUGUAUUCAACAUUCGUGAAACACAGUGCACGUGAAGCUAGCUGGAAGGUUUUCGGCAAAGGAUGUCUGUGCGCUGAUAAUGUCCAAGAGGGAUAGCAUCUGUGCAUCGCGACUAGGUGGUAUCCCAAAUCUUUCACUUUUAUACCUUCCUGAUUUCAUACCCGGAUAUGCGGUAUUAUCUCGGUAUACUUUAUACAAUGUGAAAUCGCCACAGUAAGUUCUCAGAUCUUCACAAUAUAUUGGGUUUAGGGGUCGAUUUGGGGACCAGUGUUUCCGCUGCAGUCAUUUAGCCUUGCAACAAUUAUUGCCGCCAGGCCCUAAAAACAUGGACCCUGGAAUAAUAUUUCUGCCGAAACGCACUUUGAAGAUGCUAUAACAGUUCACAUUUACUAAUGAAUAGAAUAAUCCGACAACCCCAUAGUAGAGUAGUUUAUCUAUUUACCUAUCCGGCUUGUGUGUUGGUUAUGAGAAAUAUUCAUGUUGCAGAAACAUCCAAGCAGUCAAUGCACAACAAUUCUUAAUGCAAUCUCGAGAAAACAGCAGUUUUUUAAUAGCCUUUGUUAAAAAGAUGGGGAUCUGCACCAUUUUAAAGUGUUUAACAGUGUCAUGGUUAAGGAGAGUGGGGCUAAAUGUAAACACAGUACCUUGGGGUAAAACGCCACCCUACCUACAAAAUAUUUCUGGGGGACUUAAAAAAUGGUGAGACUGAUUACAUUUUAGUUGAGCAAGAGUAGUGGCAACCAGGGAAAGUGUUUGGAAGAAUUGUGGUUUCUGUGAGAAACCAUGGUCCGUUUACAUGUUACCCUGGCUGGCGGCAUACUACCAAGUUACCCUAACAGGUCAGUCUGUGCUGUCAGAGACAGGCCAAGAGAAAUGGGGACAGUGUGACCAGAGCUGCAGAUGUCAUCAGACAACUCCACACCAGGGCAAUGACAAGAGAAACAACAUGCUUUCACCUUUUUCAAUAAACUUAACUGGACUUUUCAUCCUGA